rnacentral:rRNA from 1 species
AAAUUGAAGAGUUUGAUCAUGGCUCAGAUUGAACGCUGGCGGCAGGCCUAACACAUGCAAGUCGAACGGUAACAGGAAGCAGCUUGCUGCUUUGCUGACGAGUGGCGGACGGGUGAGUAAUGUCUGGGAAACUGCCUGAUGGAGGGGGAUAACUACUGGAAACGGUGGCUAAUACCGCAUAACGUCGCAAGACCAAAGAGGGGGACCUUCGGGCCUCUUGCCAUCAGAUGUGCCCAGAUGGGAUUAGCUUGUUGGUGAGGUAACGGCUCACCAAGGCGACGAUCCCUAGCUGGUCUGAGAGGAUGACCAGCCACACUGGAACUGAGACACGGUCCAGACUCCUACGGGAGGCAGCAGUGGGGG